AUACGGAGGGGGUUAGCGUUGUUCGGAAUUACUGGGCGUAAGGCGCACGUAGGCGGACUGGAAAGUUGGGGGUGAAAUCCCGGGGCUCAACCCCGGAACUGCCUCCAAAACUUCCAAUCUAGAGAUCGAGAGAGGUAAGUGGAAUUCCUAGUGUAGAGGUGAAAUUCGUAGAUAUUAGGAGGAACACCAGUGGCGAAGGCGGCUUACUGGCUCGAUACUGACGCUGAGGUGCGAAAGCGUGGGGAGCAAACAGGAUUAGAAACCCCAGUAGUCC
rnacentral:rRNA from 1 species